rnacentral:rRNA from 1 species
CCUACGGGAGGCAGCAGUGAGGAAUAUUGGUCAAUGGACGAGAGUCUGAACCAGCCAAGUCGCGUGAAGGAUGACUGCCCUAUGGGUUGUAAACUUCUUUUAUAUGGGAAUAAAUUCUUCCACGCGUGGGCUUUUGUAUGUACCAUAUGAAUAAGCAUCGGCUAACUCCGUGCCAGCAGCCGCGGUAAUACGGAGGAUCCGAGCGUUACCCGGAUUUAUUGGGUUUAAAGGGAGCGUAGGUGGGUUGUUAAGUCAGUUGUGAAAGUUUGCGGCUCAACCGUAAAAUUGCAGUUGAAACUGGCAGUCUUGAGUAGAGUAGAGGUGGGCGGAAUGCGUGGUGUAGCGGUGAAAUGCUUAGAUAUCAUGAAGAACUCCGAUGGCGAAGGCAGCUCACUGGACUGCAACUGACGCUGAGGCGCGAAAGUGUGGGUAUCAAACAGGAUUAGAUACCCCAGUAGUC